UGACGUCCGACGCCUCCUCGCUGUCGCUCUCCAUCUCCUCCACGUCGGAGACAUUCCCCCCGGGCUGCUUGUCCUUCUCGCGGCCGCGGGAGGUGGACGGGGAGGCGCGGUCGAGCGGCUUGUCUAGGGAUUCAGCGAUCCGUUUCCGGUCGGGGGCGGGCGCGAUCUCCGCCGCCGCCUUAGGGCCGCCCCCGGCGGCGACG
rnacentral:misc_RNA from 1 species